GUUAUAUCCUGUUUUAUCUCGGUGUAGAACAGAAAUUGAGAUAAAUUGCUUUCAAAAAUUCUGUAGACUUUAGAAUGAAAAACAUUUCAUCAACAAAACACUUCAUUCAUGCAUUGCUGGUAUUCACAAAGUGCCAUGAUUCAAGAUGAAGACUUUAUGGGAAGACAUUAUCUGAUGUUUAGGUAAUGUUUGAUGCUUCCAAUUCUGGAUAUUUUGGAAAAAAAGGUGAAAAUGAAGGGAGGAUUUCAACACACAGAAAAUAAUCUUUAAAAGAGAGAGACUCAGUUACAAAAUAUGACUCCGGAAUUAAUUUGCUGUGACAGAAUAUGGACUAAAACACUAAUGGACUCAGGAACAAGCUGUACAAUGGGAAGAGACUUAAACAAAACAACAGACUCUGGAAUAUUUUGUGCAAAACAAGAGACUUAAAAAAAAAACAAAAAAAUAGACUCAGGAAUAUGAUUUCUACAACAAGAAACAAAAGUAUAAAAUAUAAGUGAUGAAAUAAAAACUUUGUUUAGCAUGAACUUUUUUAUUUAUUAGUUAUAAAUUUGAGGAGAGAGUCAAAUAUAAUUUUCAAAAAUGAAAUGUGUGAAAGGGAUAACUCGGUUUUUUGAAGAUUUUUUUUUUCAUUUUAAAGCUCACUGCUUAUCUACAAUGUUUGAUUAUAAUGUAGUUUUUUUUCAUCAAAAUUUAGAUUUUGAAAGUCAUCAUGUUUAAAUUUGAGAGAGUUAGAAUAUUCAUUUGUAAAGAUUUAUCCUGUUUCAACCAUGAAGCACAUAAUAUUACCAUUUUUUUUAACGAGCGGUUGGACAAUGGCUAGACUGUCACUGCUAGUUUUUUAUUUUGCAUUUAUGGUUUAAACAAGAUCAAUCUAAGAGGAAGGAAAAAUGCAGUGUAUGAAAGAGAGAAAGAGGGACUAUGUUAAGGUAUAUUCUUUUUCAGCAAAACAGCAGGUUCUCUGUACAAUUUCUUGUAUUGAAAUAAUCAAGCACCUGCCAAUUUGUUUAAAUUGGAUAAAUCUUGGAUGUGUAACAUUGUGUAUUGAAAACUGUAUUUUUAAAAAUGCUUUUCAGACACACUUAAAAUAUUACAUAUUAAAAAAUUUAGAUAAUAAAUUUUCAUUUUAUAUCUAAAUUAUCACAAUCAUGCUAUAUAUUAAGUGUAUCAUUUUUUUUAUAUACUUUUUUUAAGUUUUCAACAUGGGAAGUGUUAUCUAAGUAUGAUGAAUGAGGAGCUAAUAGGUUUUAGGGGAGGGAAUAUACACCUAUUUACCUCUUAAUACUGGUUGCUUCCUUUGAUGAAAGUUAAUUUAUUAUACUUUAAUAAUUAUGUGUAAUUUUUUUAAGGGUUCAUCAGAUGUUAACAAAAUUUGCCAUUUUGUAGAGCUUAGUAAAGACAAAAUGUAAAAAAAGCAACAACAAAAAAACAAAAAAAAAUAUAAAAAAAGAAGAAAAAACUGUAAACUAAGUUCCAGAAAAUGGCAGUAUGGGUUGUUCUGAAAUUUAUAAGUUGUAUUGGAUCCAAAAGUAUUCUUACAACUUAAAUACAUCUGAUGUGUGUGUGUGUGAGGGAGAGAAAGAUCAUAGUUUGUGAAGGUUUAUUUUCUUUCAGCCAUACAGCAGGUGCUUCUUACAACUUUUAGUAGAUUGGUCUCAAAUAAGUUGCCAAAACCUGCCAGUUGGUUUAGAUACAAUAAAUCUAGAAGUGGAA